rnacentral:rRNA from 1 species
ACGACUCUCGACAACGGAUAUCUCGGCUCUCGCAUCGAUGAAGAACGUAGCGAAAUGCGAUACUUGGUGUGAAUUGCAGAAUCCCGUGAACCAUCGAGUCUUUGAACGCAAGUUGCGCCCAAAACCAUUAUGUUGAGGGCACGUCUGCCUGGGUGUCACGU